CUCUAGCGAGACUGCCGGUAAUAACCGGAGGAAGUGGGGAUGACGUCAAAUCAUCAUGCCCCUUAUGACCUGGGCUACACACGUGCUACAAUGGUUGGUACAACGAGUUGCGAGUCGGUGACGGCGAGCUAAAUCUCUUAAAGCCAAUCUCAGUUCGGAUUGUAGGCUGCAACUCGCCUACAUGAAGUCGGAAUCGCUAGUAAUCGCGGAUCAGCACGCCGCGGUGAAUACGUUCCCGGGCCUU
rnacentral:rRNA from 1 species